rnacentral:lncRNA from 11 species
UUCAACUCCAACACAAGCGUCUGGUGCACUGGGAGGAGCUUCAGCUGCGAUGCUAGCGUCUGGAGCGUUGGGAGGGGCUUCGGCUCCUAUGCUUCCUCCAAGAUGGAUUGGCAAGCAAAGACGAAGACAUGCAAGGACGAGGUUGGCAUCUGUCCCAGCCUGCAUCUGGGCCUUCGGGACCAUCUAAUGUUGGUAUUGCGGGUGUCAAACCCGUGACGAUUAAUGGCCUUUGAUGUUCAGCCGUUAUUUCAGCAGCCAACCCUUGAGGUGGUGCUGAGGGAUGAUUGAUCCAUUAAUGGAUGCACUAUUCAAAUAGCAACAAACAAAUGUCAUUUAAUUCCGGGAGCCUUACGCAUAAUCAGAAGAAUAAGUCAGUGAGCAGAAACUUCACUGGACCUUCCAUACAAAUGCCAUCUAACUCCAAUGAAGUUCCUACAAAUGUCAUCCCCACUAAUCCGCUGGUGCAUCCCUUUAUGAAGAGAUAUUAUCCAGUUUCUUAUUCUGGGACUCAGAAGACAACACCUGAGGCCCCUUCCACACUGCCAUAUAAAAUCCAGAUUAUCUACUUUGAACUGGAUUAUAUGGUAGUGUACUCAUAUAAUCCAAAAAAGAUGUGGAUUAUCUGCCUUGAUAAUCUGGAUUAUAUGGUAGUGUAGAAGGGGCCUGAGUGAAUCCUAUUAUGAUCCACAUAAUUUGCAUAAUGAACAAGUACUUUGCAUCAUAUGCAGAGGACUGGCUUGAUUUGGUUAACUAGACCAGUGUGGUCCAAUCUGCAGCCCGUGGACCGCAUGUGACCCACCAAUUCAUUUUUGUUGGCCCUUGCCCUUCUUACUGGAAAAAUAUUUUAAUUAUGUAAUUAAAUAUUAUGUAAUUUGUUUUCUUUCUGGAAUGUCUCUGGCCCUCACAUUCCUAUACUAAAGUUUGAUUGGCCCUUGGUUAACUAAAGGUUGGACCACACUGAACUAGACUAUAGCAGAGAAAGAGAAUUGCCAGGUAAUGUUGGGUAGGUUAGGAGCAGAAAAGGCUAAAGGAAUAUUUGAUCAAGAGUGGGAGAAACACUAAAAGAUGGCUGCAAAGGGAUUUGCUACCCAGGUAAAUUGUCAUAGGGUGAAUUUAUACUGGGGUGCAGAGAGAUCAGUGUGGACUUUGCAAUAAGGGGCUCAAGAUAACAAGGAUUUGCCUGACUGUGCAACUAAUUUUUUUAAAAACAAUGUUAAACUGGGUACUUCAGUUAAUAUUUCAUAAAUUAAAGAAAUGGUAGUGUUUAAAUAAUGAUUUUUGCAACAUCCUUGAAGGUCCUUAUGUUUGUGCUCAUAUAUACACAAAAUGGUCUAACUAAUGAUAGGCCAGAGUUCUCACAACAAAGGAAGGGAAACUGACGGGGUGGGGGAAACACAGAUGUGUAUAUCUUAAAUUUAUUAUGUAUUACUUUCAAGUUAUUAUGUAUUAUUUUUUCAGUUGUUGAUAUGAACUGAACUCAACAGAAUGAUCAAUACAAAAAUGUCCUAUAUACAGAAAGCCAAAUAUGAGGCAUAACAUUUCAGGACCAUGUUCAUAGAAUGGUACUCUCUAUUAAAAUAUACCAAAGUAAAGGUUUAGAAAUACCUUUCUGUUUCCCUACUGCAAUUGGCAUUACUAGACAUCUCUGAAUAUGAUAUUGCAUUAUCAUAUGGAGUUGGGACAAUACAGAAGCAAUUAAGGCCUUGCCAUCCUGUAGCUAUUGCAGUCUGUGUCAUUAUUAACUGUAGGAAAGGGGUGCCAUUUCUGACAUCUCUUCUAAUAUUUUGAAAUGCGUAUACAAAAUAUGGUGGAAAUGGCAACAUCCACAAGACACUAUCAGCAAAUUCAAGCCAGCCCUGUUGCUAUUUGUAGGAUUACAAGUAGAAUUCGCAGAGGAAACAGUGAUGGUCCUUCCAAUACACUUUGAUGGGGAUUCAAUGUUCCCAGAAAAUUGAGGACAGAAGCAUGUGCCGCUAGAAAGAUGGACAACACAGGAUGGAAAACACCAUCUUGCCACCUGGAUAAGGAAGGCCUUGUUUAAAGAGCUGUUAGCAAACCAAGAGAACACCAAGGUUUAAAUGCAAUCUGGGCUAAUACAACUGUGCAAAAUGUUACUCAAUGAAGACUGAAUAUGCUCAGUGGGAAC